rnacentral:lncRNA from 1 species
UGAGUUUAGAGUGAAAUCUAAUUGCCAAAACUAUGCAAUACACCAACCAUUUCAUUUUAGAACGAACAUCUUACGAACCUGAUUUGUCCGAUUUCAUUAACCAAUCGAUGUCGGGCAGAGCCCAAAACUUGGGGAACAUCAUAAUAUAUGUUGGGAGGAGUCGUUUGGUAAGUUUUGAGCGAAAUCCAAUUGCGAAAAGUAUAC